rnacentral:rRNA from 1 species
GCUUGUCUCAAAGAUUAAGCCAUGCAUGUCUAAGUAUAAACAAAUCUAUACUGUGAAACUGCGAAUGGCUCAUUAUAUCAGUUAUAGUUUAUUUGAUGGUUCUUGCUACUUGGAUAACCGUAGUAAUUCUAGAGCUAAUACAUGCAUCAAGCCCUGACAGCAAUGAAAGGGUGGAUUUAUUAGAUACAACCAACCCUUCGGGUUCCUGGUGAGUCAUAAUAACCGAACGAACCGCAGGCUUCGGCGGCGGUGGUUCAUUCAAGUUUCUGCCCUAUCAGCUUUCGAUGGUAGGGUAUUGGCCUACCAUGGCGUUAACGGGUAACGGAGAAUUAGGGUUCGAUUCCGGAGAGGGAGCCUGAGAGAUGGCUACCACAUCCAAGGAAGGCAGCAGG